rnacentral:tRNA from 1 species
UGUGGCUCAGUGGUAGAGCGCAUACCUAGCAUGUGUCAGGUUCUGGGUUAGAUUCUCAGCA